CUACAAUUAACCAACUUUUUUUUUUUAAGUCAUUUUCGUUUUGGAUUCCCUCUUGCUUGACAUGGUCUACUUUGUCCUUCUGAACAAAUGAUAACAUUAAUUUCUGUUCUAUAAUAGCUAUAUUUGGUCUAAAAAUUUCUAACAUACUGGGCAUUUAAAAAUAUACCUACGUUAAAGCUAGAGUUUAACUCCCAUUUAAUUUGGGAGCUUUUUUCAUUUUAUUUUAGAUAUAGUAGUUUGAAUUGCAAUUGAAACCUGCUUGAAAGGAAAGAUCUUAGAGGAAAAUUAGAAUAUUCUUCCAUUUCUCAUACCUUGCUUUUUUAUUUAAAUUGAAAAAUGCCUAUGACUUUUUUUUUUUUUCUUUUUUUUCUGUAUAAGCAGAAUUGAGUAAUCUGUACUGGAAAAGGUUUACUCAAAUGUUCUGCAUUACUUCUCCAAAUAAUUGAUGUCUGUCUUUUUUUUUUUUUUUUUCUUCUUCUUUUGUUUCCUCCCCAGUGCUGAUUCACCUAAAUGUCUCCUCACCUGAGCAGCAGAGGUUGUAGAAAUGCUUGCCGGUAUUACAGAUUUUGUGAAUCUGUGUUGGGCUGCCAUUGAAUUGGUGGACAGGUAUUCCACCAAACAUUCCUCCCAUAUCAAGUCCACAUCUAUGUUAUGAACUAGGAGCUUACUAAGCUCUUAGAAAGUACUCUAUUAAAGCACACAGCCAAACACAAAAGUACCACUCUUCAUUAUUUCAGAUUAAAAGGAUAUUUCCCUAUAUUUGCCCUAGUAACAGUUAUACUUAAAAUAAUAGUAACAUUUAAUGAAGAAGAAGAAGAAGAAGAAGAAGAAAAAGAAGAAGAAGAAAAAGGAGGAGAAGAAGGCGAAGAAGAAGAUUUUUGUUUGUUUUUGUAAGGGAAGAUACUGUUAUGUACUGUGCAGAAAAGAAGACUGAAAAUAUUUUAAGUUCUCGUAAAGCUGCUCAUGAAAUCUGCAUUCAGGUUAAAUUAAGAAAUGAAACCUUAAAAUGGAUACAGUGGGAAUAUGUAGUAAUGAUGAGAAAAAAGAAAUUUGACAUUCUAUCAAGCAAUGCAAUGAGCAGAAGUAUUGCAGAUAAGAAUCUGAACAAAAGAUCUUGA
rnacentral:lncRNA from 1 species